AGGUCUUGUUGAUCUCUAUACAGGCAGAGGGACUUACAAAUAAAGAUAACGAGGUGUACACAAAGCGAGACAGGUCCUCUGCCUUGGACAGAAGCACUGUCCCAAUUAUAUAAAGAUCCCUUUGUAGCCAAUUAUUUUUUUUACUGUCUAGUGAACCAUGAGCAGCAGCCCAAUGGAGCAGUUGCUAUGGCUACUCACACGCAGAGCGGGGGACAGACAGACGAGCAACUAACAUAAUAAACUAUUUCUGAUUUCUGCACAUAAAAAUUAGCACGGGAGGCGAGUGAUGCUUAUCGGGACAGGACAGGAAUGUUAUAGAACUGUUGCAGGAUCAGGACAACACGGGAAAAAAACUGACAGUACAAGACAGGACAUUAAUUGAUUUUCACUCCCGUGGGGAGGGAAGAGAGAAGGAAAGAAAGAGAGGGAAGGUUCCGCUCAGGUAAGCCCAACCAUAAAUGAUCCGCAUUAUCAUCAUACUUCAAGCCCACAACAGGUAACCCUCAUUGACUCUUGUUUAAAUCCACAUCUUUGCUCAAAGCGUAGGCCCAAUGGUACAGUUUUAGACUAUCUUGUAUCUGAACCAAUUCAAGCUAUCCCUUUGGUAUUUUCAAAUAAGGGGUUACCAACUGAGCAUAGUAUGCUUGUAUUACAGACUGAAAUCCUGCAGCUGCGUCAUUGAUUCAUGUCA
rnacentral:lncRNA from 8 species